AAAUUUUUGAAUCUGUGCAGAGAUUUUGUCAGACACCAACACAUUAGGGCUGAUCGGACUUCCAAGAUAUGUGGAGUU
rnacentral:pre_miRNA from 1 species